rnacentral:rRNA from 1 species
GAUGAACGCUGGCGGCGUGCCUAAUACAUGCAAGUCGAGCGAACGGACGAGAAGCUUGCUUCUCUGAUGUUAGCGGCGGACGGGUGAGUAACACGUGGAUAACCUACCUAUAAGACUGGGAUAACUUCGGGAAACCGUAGCUAAUACCGGAUAAUAUUUUGAACGGCAUGGUUCAAAAGUGAAAGACGGUCUUGCUGUCACUUAUAGAUGGAUCCGCGCUGCAUUAGCUAGUUGGUAAGGUAACGGCUUACCAAGGCAACGAUGCAUAGCCGACCUGAGAGGGUGAUCGGCCACACUGGAACUGAGACACGGUCCAGACUCCUACGGGAGGCAGCAGUAGGGAAUCUUCCGCAAUGGGCGAAAGCCUGACGGAGCAACGCCGCGUGAGUGAUGAAGGUCUUCGGAUCGUAAAACUCUGUUAUUAGGGAAGAACAUAUGUGUAAGUAACUGUGCACAUCUUGACGGUACCUAAUCAGAAAGCCACGGCUAACUACGUG